GGAUGCGCCUCCCAGCGGGAACCCCUGUGGAGGGAAAGCCCCGCCCAGCCCGAAGCUCAGUCGCGAGGAACUGCCGUCUGUUGAGCACUGCCAGGUCCAGGAAAAAGGCAAUUACAUCCCCAAGAAAUGUGGCCAGUCAGGGAGCGUGAGAGCUUGUGCUGCUCUUGGGGGCCACAGAGACCCACCUGGCUGGUUCUGGAUGAGACAAAGGCUGCAGACUGACACACCUAUGCAACUCUCCUCCUGCCCAGGCCUUGGAAGUCACCGGCAACCCCUGCCCCUCCAAACUCAGACACGUCCUCAGGAUCUCUCUCAACACAGUACUGCAGGCAACCACAACUGGGCAGCCCAAGUGGGUGAGCAAGAUCAAUGCGGAAUUGCAAGGGGCCUCAAGUAGCAAAAACAACCUUCAAAAAGAAGAACAAAGUCAGAGGAGUUACACUUUCUGAUUUCAAAUUUACUACAAAGCUACAGCUGUUAAAACAGUGUAAAACUGGCAUAGGGAUAGACAUAUAAAUCAAUAGAAUAAAAUUCAGAGUCGUUUAAGGCCAGUUAAUUUUUGUCAUGGAUGCCAAGCUCAUUCAAUGGGGAAAGAACAGUCUUUUCUACAAAUGUUACUGGGACAACUUGAUUUCUGCAUGCAAAAGAUGAGGUUGGACCCCUACCUCACACUAUAGGCAAAAAUUAACUCAAAAUGGAUCAAUACCCUAAAUAUAAGAGCAAAAGCUGCAAAACUCUUAGAAGAAAGCAUAGUGGUAGAUCUUCAUGACCUUGGAUAUGGCAAUGGAUUCUUAGAUAUGAUAUCAAAAUCUCAAGUAAGAAUAACAAUAACAACAAAAAACAGAUAAAUUAGACUUCAUCAAAUUUAAAACUUUUGUGCACCAAACAACAUUAUCAAGAAAGUGAAAAGACAACCACAGAAUGGGAGAAAACACCUGCAAAUCAUAUAUCUAAUAAUAGUUUAAUAUCCAGAAUAUAUAAAGAACUUCUAAAACUCGAAAACAAAAGAACAAAACAACCAAAUUUAAAAAUGGGCAGGCUGGGCAUGUAGCUCAUGCUUGUAAUCCCAGCACAUUAGGAGGCCAAGGCAGGCGGGUCCAUUUGAGCUCAGGAGUUUGAGACCAGCCUGGGCAACAUAGUGAUACUCCAUCUCUACAAAAAAUACAAAAAUUAGCCAGGCAUGGUGGCUUAUGCCUGUAAUCCCAGCUACUCUGGAGGCUAAGGCUGGAGGAUGACUUGAGGCUGGGAAUCAGAGGUUGCAGUGAGAUCAUGCCACUGCCCUCCAGACUAGGAGACAGAAUGAGACCCUGUCUCAAAAAAUAAAUAAAAAUAAAAAUAAAAUAAAAUAAAAAUGGGCAAAGGAUUUGAAUAGAUGUUUCUCUGAAGAAGAUGCACAAAUGCCAAUAAGCACAUGAAAAGAUGCUCAACAUCACUAAUCUUUAGAGAAAUGUAAAUUAAAGCCACCAUCACUUCACCUAUUGGCAUGGCUAUAAUCAGAAAAGCUAAAAGUAACAACUGCUGGUGAGGAUGUGGAGAAACUGGAACUCUUGUGCAUUGAUGAUGGAAAUGGAAAGUGGUAUAACUGUUGUGUAAAAUAGUGUGGUCAUUCCUCAAAAAGCUAAAUGUAUAGUUACCAUGGAAUUGUGACCCAAUAAUUCCAUUCCUAGGUAUAUACUCAACAGAAUUGAAAACAAGAAAUCAAAAAAUGCUUGUGUCCCAAAGUUUAUAGCAGCAUCAUCCACAAAAGCCAAAAGAUGGAAACCAGGCAAAAGUCAACCGACAGAUGAAUGGAUAAAUACAGCGUGCUCCACCACACGGAAUAUGAUUCAUCCGCACAAAGGAACAAAGUUCUGACACACAUGACAACAGAGAUGAACCUUGAAAACAUUAUGCUGAGUAGAAUAAGCCAGACACAAAAGGACAAAUAUUGUAGGAUUCCAGAUCUAAACUAGGCAAAUUUAUAGAGACAAAGCAGAUUAGAGGUUACCAAGGGCUAGGGGUGGGGGAUGGGAGGUUAUUGCUUAAUGGGUUCAGAUUAUCUGUUUGGGAUGGUGAAAAAGUUUGCAGUGCACAAGAGUUCCAGUUUUGGAAGUAGAUAUCAGUGAUGGUUGCACAACAUCGUGAAUGUAAUUAAUGUGAAUUAUACACUUAAAAUGGUUAAAAUGGCAUUUUUGUGAUGUAUAUCUUUUGCUACAAAAAGAACCAUUUUUUAAAGAAGCAAUGGUGAGCAAAGUUGGUAAAUCUGUAGGUAGAUCCAAUAAAGCCUUGACAAUUCAAAGAAAAGUAAUAAUUAAUUUAUGGCCAUACAAACAGGGUGAGGCUAGUACUCCAAACAGCAAAGCCUAGCAUGCCCAGUACCGGGCAAAGAGCAGGGGGAGACACGGGCUGUGUCUACACAAGGAGCAUGCCUUUCUAGCACAGGUAUUAAAACUUUAGGACAAUUUAUUAAAGAAAUAGAAAAUAUGAUCUCUGUGUUAGUUUCCUGUGAUUGCUAUAAGAAGUUACCACAAGUCUGGUAGUUUAUAACAACAA
rnacentral:lncRNA from 10 species